UAUGCUAAUACGGGAUAAUAUAUUUGAGAGGCAUCUCUUAAAUAUCAAAGGUGAGCCAGUACAGGAUGGACCCGCGUCUGAUUAGCUAGUUGGUAAGGUAACGGCUUACCAAGGCGACGAUCAGUAGCCGACCUGAGAGGGUGAUCAGCCACAUUGGAACUGAGACACGGUCCAAACUCCUACGGGAGGCAGCAGUGGGGAAUAUUGCACAAUGGGCGAAAGCCUGAUGCAGCAACGCCGCGUGAGUGAUGAAGGCCUUCGGGUCGUAAAACUCUGUCCUCAAGGAAGAUAAUGACGGUACUUGAGGAGGAAGCCCCGGCUAACUACGUGCCAGCAGCCGCGGUAAUACGUAGGGGGCUAGCGUUAUCCGGAUUUACUGGGCGUAAAGGGUGCGUAGGCGGUCUUUCAAGUCAGGAGUGAAAGGCUACGGCUCAACCGUAGUAAGCUCUUGAAACUGGGAGACUUGAGUGCAGGAGAGGAGAGUGGAAUUCCUAGUGUAGCGGUGAAAUGCGUAGAUAUUAGGAGGAACACCAGUUGCGAAGGCGGCUCUCUGGACUGUAACUGACGCUGAGGCACGAAAGCGUGGGGAGCAAACAGGAUUAGAUACCCUGGUAGUCCACGCUGUAAACGA
rnacentral:rRNA from 1 species